AGCUUAUUUUGCGCAGGCGGAACUCGACCGCCCACUCAAGCGAUGAUCGGUUUCAUCGACGAUCAA
rfam:Thioclava sp. SK-1 scaffold11_cov1952_read209, whole genome shotgun sequence.